rnacentral:rRNA from 1 species
GACGUAGGGGGCCAGCGUUGCUCGGAAUUACUGGGCGUAAAGGGUUCGUAGGCGGUGUGGUAAGUCGGAAGUGAAAUCUCUGGGCUUAACUCAGAGGCUGCUUUCGAAACUGCCACGCUAGAGUGCGGGAGAGGCGAGUGGAAUUACAGGUGUAGCGGUGAAAUGCGUAGAUAUCUGUAGGAACACCCGUGGCGAAGGCGGCUCGCUGGACCGCAACUGACGCUGAGGAACGAAAGCUAGGGGAGCAAACAGG